GCACAGGCAUGGAGGCACGUGCCUGUAGCCCUAGCUACCAGGGAGGCUGAGGCUAGAGGAUUGCUUGAGUCCAGGAGUUCUGGGUUGCUGUGCGCUAUGCCGAUCGGGUGUCCACACUAAGUUCAGCAUCAAUAUGGUGACCUCCCGGGAGCGGGGGACCAUCAGGUUACCCAAGGAGGGGUGAAUCGGCCCAGGAUGGAGCAGGUCAAAACUCCUGUGCUGAUCAGUAAUGUAUCCACAUUUUGGAGGUUGUGAACUUCUUUGUUUCUUUUAUAUCUACUCAU
rnacentral:SRP_RNA from 1 species